UUUUGGAGGGUUCUUUGUGCAUGUUAUAUGUAGCUCUGCUUCGGACUUUCGCUCUCCCAUAUGAUUCCAUUUUGAAAAUAGAAGAAAUCAUGGUACCUUCCUGUAGAUUAGAACUUAUUCUUUAUCAUUUCCUCCAGUCUUAGAAACUGACCUCCAAUGGGAAUAUUCUUGCUCAGCCAGGAAAGAAAUGAUCCAUACUUAUCCAAGUGAUUCUGUCAUCAGGGUUCAGGAUAUGAUAUUUCUUAGUGUCAAGUUUCCCUUCCCGAGUCACAUUCCCUUCUACACUGCUGUCAUAUGUGGAGGAUACCCAUAUUAAAAAUUGCAUUUCUUUUCUCUUUGUAUACAUAUUUGCACACUCUUGUUUUUCAACAACAUCUUUAAUGCUUGUGGAAUCUUAAGGCUGAGCCAAGACAGAGCUGGUAUCUCAGUACUAUGACCACCCCUUAAGAGUGAAAAAUCUACAAGAAUAAAACUUGUAGAAGCCAUGUUAUUCUGACUUUCCUGAUACAUCAGCAGCACUCAUAAGGCCACUGACAAUAAUGAGACAAAAUAAAAAAUGUGCAUCUUGUGAUUCAGCCUAUUCUGCAUUCCUAACAGGAGAUUUGGAUGAACAGCUCAGUUCAUCAGUAGAUGUGGCAACUCAGCACUUUCCUGGCAUGAAGGCAAUCUCUUUCUUUCCUAGACUUGCUUUCUCUUUUGGUUCUUUGAGUCACUAUGGUCUGUCACAUUCCGUGUUUUCUGGUGUCAACUGAGCCACUCAUUUGGCUCUAGUUCCUUUCUGUGUCUUAGCUAAAGAUUUCAAGGGUUCUCAUUUGAUGACAGCUCCAUUAGAACCAGCAUCUCAUGGUGGUGGUGGUGGUGGUGAUGAUGAUGAUGAUGAUGAUGAUGCAGAUUGAAUACAGAAAUGGUGUUUGACUUGCAGAGUCGUACUUGCGGUAUGGAAAUUCUCUGAAGCUCACUUACCUCAUCCUCUGUGGCAAAGCCUUGGUCUAUGCAGUUUUGGUGAGUGGUCUGGUGUGGACAGCCAAGAAUAGUGUCAAGUUAUCUAGAGAAUAAAUGAAGAGCCCUUGCCAUCACAUCAGCAGGAACACGACACCUUCUCAACCUUUCCAUUGCAAAGUAUCUCUGCUUCUAAGAAUUUCUGAACACAAUAUUUUGUGCUUGUCUGUUGCCAUCCUGUUCUUCACUUUGUUGUAAUCACUGCUGAGCUUUCCCUGUACUUCCAUAUGGUAUUGUAACAUACCUUUAAAACUAGCACCUUCUUAAUGCUCAGAGGCUGAGAACUCAUCUCCUUGAUUUAGGAAUAAAGUUUUCACUUUCUUUCCCUUGAAAAA